AACCUAGCACACCUGCGGUGUGUACCUGCGGAAGGAUCAUUACCGAGUCGCACGACUCCCCAAACCAUCGCGAACCCACCCCUACACAGUUGCUUCGGCGGCGCGCCCCGGCGCCCGCCGCGAGCCCCCCUGAACCCUUGUCUCACCGAACCGGCCUCUCUGAGUACUGUACUUUUAACGAGUCAAAACUUUCAACAACGGAUCU
rnacentral:misc_RNA from 1 species